UAACCGGCGAUACCCGAAUGGGGAAACCCAGUGUGACUCGUCACACUAUCAUUAACUGAAUCCAUAGGUUAAUGAGGCGAACCGGGGGAACUGAAACAUCUAAGUACCCCGAGGAAAAGAAAUCAACCGAGAUUCCCCCAGUAGCGGCGAGCGAACGGGGAGGAGCCCAGAGCCUGAAUCAGCAUGUGUGUUAGUGGAAGCGUCUGGAAAGGCGCGCGAUACAGGGUGACAGCCCCGUACACAAAAGCGCAUGUGCUGUGAGCUCGAUGAGUAGGGCGGGACACGUGGUAUCCUGUCUGAAUAUGGGGGGACCAUCCUCCAAGGCUAAAUACUCCUGACUGACCGAUAGUGAACCAGUACCGUGAGGGAAAGGCGAAAAGAACCCCGGCGAGGGGAGUGAAAAAGAACCUGAAACCGUGUACGUACAAGCAGUGGGAGCACCCUUUGGGUGUGACUGCGUACCUUUUGUAUAAUGGGUCAGCGACUUAUAUUCUGUAGCAAGGUUAACCGAAUAGGGGAGC
rnacentral:rRNA from 1 species